rnacentral:rRNA from 1 species
AUUGAACGCUGGCGGUAGGCCUAACACAUGCAAGUCGAACGGCUGCACAGUACUUGCUUCCUCUUUCAGCUGCCGAGUGGUGGGCGGUUCAUGAGUACCUCCCUGUUUAUUUUGUCUUAGGUCCUAACGUGGGGGAUCAUACGCUAUUACCCCUUAGGACCUACGGGUGGGAUCUUGGGAUCUUCCGCUCUUACGUGAUCCGAUGUCGGAUUAGCUAGUUGGUGGGGUAAAGGCCUACCAAGGCGACGAUCCGUAGCUGGUCUGAGAGGAUGAUCAGCCACACUGGAACUGAGACACGGUCCAGACUCCUACGGGAGGCAGCAGUGGGGAAUAUUGGACAAUGGGCGCAAGCCUGAUCCAGCCAUACCGCGUGGGUGAAGAAGGUCUUCGGAUUGUAAAGCACUUUUGGUGGGGAAGAAAAGCAGCAAGUUAAUACCCCGCUGUUCUGACGGUACCAAAAGAAUAAGCACCGGCUAACUUCGUG